GACGAACGCUGGCGGCGUGCCUAAUACAUGCAAGUCGAGCGGAUGACGGAGGAGCUUGCUCCUCCUGAUUCAGCGGCGGACGGGUGAGUAACACGUGGGCAACCUGCCCUGUAGAUUGGGAUAACUCCGGGAAACCGGGGCUAAUACCGAAUAAUCCUUCGGACCUCAUGGUCCGAUGUUGAACGACGGCUUCGGCUGUCACUACAGGAUGGGCCCGCGGCGCAUUAGCUAGUUGGUGAGGUAACGGCUCACCAAGGCCACGAUGCGUAGCCGACCUGAGGGGGUGAUCGGCCACACUGGGACUGAGACACGGCCCAGACUCCUACGGGAGGCAGCAGUAGGGAAUCUUCCACAAUGGACGAAAGUCUGAUGGAGCAACGCCGCGUGAGUGGAGAAGGUUCUCGGAUCGUAAAACUCUGUUGUGAGGGAAGAACAAGUACCGGAGUAACUGCCGGUGCCUUGACGGUACCUCAUUAGAAAGCCACGGCUAACUACGUGCCAGCAGCCGCGGUAAAAC
rnacentral:rRNA from 1 species